rnacentral:tRNA from 1 species
GGCUCACUAGCUCAAUUGGCAGAGCAAUUGACUCUUAAUCAAUCGGUUCAGGGUUCAAGUCCCUGGUGAGUCACUA